UCUUCUGCGUCUUUUUUUUUUGCUUCUCUCUAGAAGCCUCACUGUCCUCUUCAAUUCUCUCUCUUCUUCUAGAGAGCCUCGCCGCCCUUCUCUUCAAUUCUUCGACACUCUCGCACGCCCCACUUAAUUUCUUCUCUCACACCGGCAAUCAAGCUUUAUUCUUAAUCUAUUUCUCGACAACUUUAGGUUUUCGCCAUACCCCAUUCCUGGUUAUAUUAACUGGAAGCCGGCUUGAUUUGGACGACCUCCGCCUUUUCAAUUUGUGCCUCAUCAAGGUAUGGCGUCUGGACGCCGAUGAUCUGCAAGAAUGAAUUUUUUUGAGGAACAUGUUUUUGAGAAUAAUGAAAGCGGCGGUGGAGUUGCAGAACGGGUGGUAUAGUUGCAGAUCAUUAGUUGUGGCUCUAGAGAACCUAGAUCUUUGUGUCUAACCGAUUUGGGGAUGAUGCUAGGGGUGUUGUAAUUUCAUAAUGGUUUUGAGGAAUUAUAAAGAGGUUUGAAUUGUUCUGAGUUUGUUUUUUUAAGUUACAUAUAUGAGAUGUUACCUGGCUGUAAUAAGAUGUCUGCUUUGCUCAUUGCCAUUGGUUAGCAGUAACACAACAAGUUAGAUGAGGUGAACUACUAUUGUUUUACACCUGAAUAUAUCACAUCCUAUCAUUUGAGGAACUUAACAUUA